CCUUCUCUUAGGCCUCCAUCAACCUCUCCUUAAGUCUUCUAGGAGUAUGAAGAAUGAAUCUCUUUCAUCCUCUGAGAGGCUUUAUCAUGUCUGCAUAUGAUGUUGCAUGUCUGCAGAUUGAGUGAAUCCUCACUUUGAUUUUCCUUCCACAUUCUGCAGUUCUCAAAAUGCCUCACUGGGACUGAAUGCAGGUUGCUACAACACUCAGUGUGCGUGCACACACUGUUGCUAAGAGCUCUGCUAUGUGUCACUUGCCAGCAUUCUACAAGGAAGAAAUUAAGGUGUUCAUCAUAAAAUACAUGUUUGAGCUGGGACAUAACACCAGAACAACAAAAAGAAGACUUCUUUACAUCCAGCCCCCAGCUCAGUUGGUAGCAGACAUGUGUUUCACUUGAUCACUGAAGCCAGCAGUGACUGAGGUCCAUUUCUGAACAGCUGUGUUCUGCAUAAAAAC